rnacentral:rRNA from 1 species
UGAGUACGAGCUGCUACGGCAGCGAAGUGGGUGAUGUCAUGCUUCCAAGAAAAGCCCUAUACCCGUUAAGGCAUGAUGGCCUGUACCCGAAACCGACACAGGUGGGGUGGUAGAGAAUACCGAGGGGCGCGAGGUAACUCUCUCUAAGGAACUCGGCAAAAUGGCCCCGUAACUUCGGGAGAAGGGGUGCCACCGCAAGGUGGUCGCAGUGAAGAGGCCCAGGCGACUGUUUACCAAAAACACAGGUCUCCGCUAAGUCGCAAGACGAUGUAUGGGGGCUGACGCCUGCCCAGUGCCGGAAGGUUAAGGAAGCUGGUCAGCGUAAGCGAAGCUAGCGACUGAAGCCCCGGUGAACGGCGGCCGUAACUGUAACGGUCCUAAGGUAGCGAAAUUCCUUGUCGGGUAAGUUCCGACCCGCACGAAAGGCGUAACGAUCUGGGCGCUGUCUCGGAGAGAGGCUCGGCGAAAUAGAAUUGUCUGUGAAGAUGCGGACUACGUGCACCCGGACAGAAAGACCCUAUGAAGCUUUACUGUAGCUUGGUAUUGUGCUCGGGCUCGGAAUGCGCAGGAUAGGUGGGAGGCUAUGAACCAUUGCUUGCGGGUGAUGGUGAGCCACUGGUGAGAUACCACUCUUUCCGAGCUAGAGUUCUAACAGCCACCCGUUAUCCGGGGGCUGGACAGUAUCAGGUGGGCAGUUUGACUGGGGCGGUCGCCUCCUAAAAGGUAACGGAGGCGCGCAAAGGUUUGCUCAGGCUGGUUGGAAAUCAGCCGACGAGUGUAAAAGCAGAAGCAAGCUUGACUGUGAGACCUACAAGUCGAACAGGGAGGAAACUCGGCUUUAGUGAUCCGACGGUUCUGCGUGGAAGGGCCGUCGCUCAACGGAUAAAAGUUACUCUAGGAUAACAGGCUGAUCUCCCCCAAGAGUUCACAUCGACGGGGAGGUUUGGCACCUCGAUGUCGGCUCAUCGCAACCUGGGGCUGAAGUCGGUCCCAAGGGUUGGGCUGUUCGCCCAUUAAAGCGGUACGCGAGCUGGGUUCAGAACGUCGUGAGACAGUUCGGUCCAUAUCCGGUGCAUGCGCAGGAAUAUUGAGAGGAUUUCUCCCUAGUACGAGAGGACCGGGAGGAACGCACCUCUGGUGUACCAGUUAUCGUGCCAACGGUAAACGCUGGGUAGCCAUGUGCGGAGAGGAUAACCGCUGAAAGCAUCUAAGUGGGAAGCCCACCUCAAGAUGAGUAUUCCCAUGGGGUAACCCAGUAAGGUCACGGGAAGAACACCCGUUGAUAGGCUCUACGUGGAAGCGCAGUAAUGUGUGAAGCGGAGGAGUACUAAUAGACCGAGGGCUUGACC